rnacentral:snRNA from 1 species
GUGCUAUCGCUCCAGCCCAUAUACUAAAAUUGGAACGAUACAGAGAAGAUUAGCAUGGCCCCUCGCAAGGAUGAAUAAUACAGUGAAAACAAUGCGAUAUAA